rnacentral:rRNA from 1 species
UACCAGCUCUCCGAGUUGUAGGGAUGAUUAUUGGGCUUAAAGCGUCCGUAGCCGGCUUAGCAAGUCUCCUGUUAAAUUCAGCGACCUAAUCGUUGAGCCGCGGGAGAUACUACUAGGCUAGGAGGCGGGAGAGGUCGACGGUACUUUCGGGGUAGGGGUGAAAUCCUAUAAUCCCGGGAGGACCACCAGUGGCGAAGGCUGUCGACUAGAACGCGCUCGACGGUGAGGGACGAAAGCUGGGGGAGCGAACCGGAUUAGAUACCCGGGUAGUCCCAGCUGUAAACGAUGCGGGCUAGGUGUUGGGGUGGCUACGGGCCACUUCAGUGCCGCAGGAAAGCCAUUAAGCCCGCCGCCUGGGGAGUACGGCCGCAAGGCUGAAACUUAAAGGAAUUGGCGGGGGAGCACCACAAGGCGUGAAGCUUGCGGUUC